CCAGCGAUCUGUAUCUGAAGGACCAGCUCUGAACCACAAGGAGCUUUGACUCUAUAGUCUUCUUGCCUUGGAUGAAGCCAAUGGAAUGUCCCAACUUGAGCUAAACUGGUUUCUCAUGGCAUCAUUGAUGCCUACGCUGUAAAAGAUACAGUAUCCUCGGGAAGAAUUAGUUACUAGGGAGAAAAAGAAUGUCUACAGGAAAUUCAGCCUGAAGAGGGCCUGCCUGUGCCCCCAGAAAGCAUGAAAAGGAAUUGAGGGAUGAAAUGGUUGAGUGGAGCCUGGAUUUUAACUACCGAUUACGUAUGGACUGCAUACAUCCAAACUGCUCCUCGGUGCUGCCCACACGCGGAUAUGCGUUCUCUCCCUCCCCAUCCACCUUCCUUUGCACUCAUCAGUUGUGUUGCACAAUACCUACCUCUCCCUCUCAACCAACCAUCCUUCUAACCUGUCCUUUCUGCUAUUAAGUAGAUGGGAUAGUGCGUGCUAGAUAAAAGAUAGUACACGUCUGUCUAGACGUCUGUCAGGCUAACCAUGUCUGGGUUCCAUGGGGAACCUCUGUCUUGCCCCCACUUACUCUGAGAGGUGACUCAGCGUUUAACUGCAUCUCCUCAAAACAAAGUUCAACUGUGAAAAUGCUGGUAAGUAAUACAGAU